rnacentral:rRNA from 1 species
UUUAUGAGUUUGAUCCUGGCUCAGGAUGAACGCUAGUAGUAUGCUUUAUACAUGCAAGUCGAACGAAUUUUAUUUCGUGGCGAACGGGUGAGUAUAAUACAAAAUUUUGCCUUUUAGUUUUAUACAAAACAUAUUCAAUUUAAUUUGAAAAAAAAUAUUUAUUAAAUAUUUGUGUUAAUUAUAAAAUAAAAAAAAGACUAUAAAACAAAAAUAAUAGUCGCUAAAAGAUAAAUUUGUAGAAGAUUAGGUAGUUGGUAAGUUUUAAAGUCUACCAAGCCGACGAUCUUUAGUUGGUCUUAGAAGGACGAUCAACCACAUUGGAACUGAGACAAGGUCCAAGCUGAAAUUUCGGCCAGCAGUAAGGAAUAUUGGACAAUGAACGAAAGUUUGAUCCAGCAAUACUACCUGAAUGAUGACGGCUAUUUGGUUGUAAAGUUCUUUCGUUAAAGAUGAUAAUGACAUUAUUUAAAGAAGUUAGUCCCGGCUAAUCUCGUGCCAGCAGCCGCGGUAAAACGGGAGGGGCAAGCGUUAUCCGUAAUGACUGGGCGUAAAGGGUCCGUAGACGGUAAAAUAAGUUAUUUGUUAAUUCUUAGAGCUUAACUUUAAGUCAGCAUUUAAAACUGUUUUACUUGAGUUUAAGACGGAAGAAUAGAAUUUUAUAUGGAGGGAUGACACCCACAGAUAUAUAAAGGAAUAUCAUUAGUGAAGACGAUUCUUUAGUUAUAAACUGACGUUGAGGGACGAAAGUAUAGGUAGCAAACAGGAUUAGGUACCCUGGUAGUCUAUACUGUAAACUAUGAGUGCUGUAAUUUAGUCAAUUUAUUUUGAUUAGAUUUUUAAGCUAACGCCAUAAGCACUCCGCCAGAGAAGUACGAUCGCAAGGUUGAAACUCAAAGGAAUUGACGGGGGCCUACAACUAGUGGUGGAGCAUGUGGUUUAAUGCGAUGAUCCGCGCAAAACCUUACCAACCCUUGAAUAAACUUUACUUAACUAUUUUUUCAUAUUAAGAUGAAAUUAUUUUAUAUUAAGUUAACAGGUGUUGCACGACUGUCGUCAGCUCGUGUCGUGAGAAGUUGGGUUAAGUCCCGCAAAGA